rnacentral:lncRNA from 1 species
AGAGAGACAGCCCCACGCCCGGCAAGACGCAACUCCGGGCCACGGAGGGCGCCGCCCGGACAGCCCGGCCGGGUCAGGGGGCUUCGCCGCCGAGCACCCUCCGGCAGCCGCCCUCGGGCCUCCGCGGCCGGGCGGGAGGGCGCCUCCCCGACCACACUUCGGCCGCUUGGCACCCACAGCCGGGAGGGCGUGAGGAAGGACUCGGUCUAACUCCGGGGAACCCUCGGAGUUCCGGCGCAGACACCCGAGGGGGUGUCCUGGGAACUCCUUCGCCCGCGACACCCGUUCUUCUCCGUCUCCCGACCACCAGCGACGCAGCAGGGCGGCUGCCGGCCCGGCCCGGCCCGCCUUGCGGGCUGUGCGCGGCGCAGCUCUUCCUCCGCGGGGCCGUGAAGGCCACCGGCCGCCCCCGCGCGCCCAGCUGCCCGGCCCCGCCGCCUAAGCCGCCGCGUUGCUGGCGGGUAGCCGCGGGCCUCCGGUGCGCGGGCCCCGGCGCGUCCCCGAGCGCGCGCCUGGCCGCGGCCCCGCGCGAGUUGCACUAACUUUCCGGGGCGGGGGAGGGGUGGGCGCCGCGGGCCCGGCUCCCAGGCCUUACCUGUGCUCAAGUUGUCGUUGAUUUUCAAAGGCACCCGCAGGAUGUAGACCAGGAAUAGCACGAUGAAGAACCACACGGUCCACAGAUACGUCCAAGACCAAACUAUGCAGGACUUGAGCUGCUCCAGAAAGCCCGUGGCCGCUUCAGCCAUGUUUCAGCGCUCCUCUCUGCUGCCGCGGCUCUUGGUGUCUGCCGGGAUGAUUCACCGGCCCGGAGGCGCAGCUCGCGCCGCCGCCGCCGCCGCGGCCCGGGCGCCCCCGGAGCCCGCCCGCCGCCGGGGACGCGGGCUCGGCGGGAAAUCGCGCGGGCCGCGGGCGCGCCGGCUUUUCCUUCUCCAGCCUUAUUGCUAACUCUCUAAAGGUCCCUACAAGUGGCUUUCGUGGAGCGAUCACGUGGCCCCUGCCCCCUCGCGUUCUGGGUCCAUUUAUAUUUAUUAUGCUAAUAUUUAGAAAGAGAAGGCCAAGUGGCGCGCCGAAGGAAACGCCUCAGGCAGUUACAACCCGCAUAAGUUGAGCGUUUACCACACGCCAGGCGCUGCUCCACGAUCCGUACAAUCUCAUUUAACCCCUGCAACAAUUCCCCACUACGAUCCUCUUUCUAUAGGUAGGGAAACUGAGGCUCACAGCAGCUGCGUAGUUUACCUUAAGGUGGAACCAAAAUUCAAUUGCAGUGGUGUAUUCUGGGGUCCGAGGUCUUAAACCCUACUCUGCUCCCUUAUCAGGAUUCAGGCUCAGGGAAUGAAUAAACCCGGGACAGCUAGGAGAAGGGAGGAGGUGCGCUCCUGUCGCCGGCUAGUAGGCCUGAAGAUAAAUCACUCUAUUCAGCAAGAUUUGGGUGGCAGAUGCUAUUUACCUUUGUUCUGUCUCUUUGAAGCAGCGCAGGGAUUUUCCAGAGAAAUCUUGACAGAUGAAUGUUUAUCCUCCAGGUUUUUUGGUGAUCAGAGGUCAAACUAUUCUCAGCCUGUUUUUAAUAUAAACAAUUCUCUGGGAUAAUUUUGACUGUGAAACGGCCACCUCUAACAGAAAGUCCAUUUUAAACAUUGUUUUGUUGUUUUUGUUUUGUUUUGACUGUGCUGAAUAAAAUGUUUCUUUUAUUCUAAAAUGUUUUCUCAGCUGAAAUUUUCAAGUCUGUUUCUGUCCGUAAGUGAUUUGACUUUCUAUGUAUUAGAUGGUAAUGAGGAAAUUGCAGGUUUUCCAGUCUACAUCUAUUUUUAAAAUUCUGAGCAUAAAGAAUAUUUUAUUAUAAA